rnacentral:rRNA from 1 species
AGAGUUUGAUCCUGGCUCAGGACGAACGCUGGCGGCGUGCUUAACACAUGCAAGUCGAGCGGAAAGGCCCUUCGGGGUACUCGAGCGGCGAACGGGUGAGUAACACGUGAGUAACCUGCCCUCCACUCUGGGAUAAGCCCGGGAAACUGGGUCUAAUACCGGAUAUGACUCCUCGUCUCCUGGCGGGGGGUGGAAAGUUUUUCGGUGGGGGAUGGACUCGCGGCCUAUCAGCUUGUUGGUGAGGUAAUGGCUUACCAAGGCGACGACGGGUAGCCGGCCUGAGAGGGCGACCGGCCACACUGGGACUGAGACACGGCCCAGACUCCUACGGGAGGCAGCAGUGGGGAAUAUUGCACAAUGGGGGAAACCCUGAUGCAGCGACGCCGCGUGCGGGAUGAAGGCCUUCGGGUUGUAAACCGCUUUCAGCAGGGACGAAAGUGACGGUCCUGCAGAAGAAGCACCGGCCUAACUACGUGCCAGCAGCCGCGGUA